rnacentral:tRNA from 5 species
GUUUUUCUAGUAUAAAUUAGUAUAACUGACUUCCAAUCAGUAGGCUUGAUAUUAAAUCAAGAAAAACA